UGGGGAAUAUUGCACAAUGGGCGCAAGCCUGAUGCAGCCAUGCCGCGUGUAUGAAGAAGGCCUUCGGGUUGUAAAGUACUUUCAGCGGGGAGGAAGGCGAUAAGGUUAAUAACCUUGUCGAUUGACGUUACCCGCAGAAGAAGCACCGGCUAACUCCGUGCCAGCAGCCGCGGUAAUACGGAGGGUGCAAGCGUUAAUCGGAAUUACUGGGCGUAAAGCGCACGCAGGCGGUCUGUCAAGUCGGAUGUGAAAUCCCCGGGCUCAACCUGGGAACUGCAUUCGAAACUGGCAGGCUAGAGUCUUGUAGAGGGGGGUAGAAUUCCAGGUGUAGCGGUGAAAUGCGUAGAGAUCUGGAGGAAUACCGGUGGCGAAGGCGGCCCCCUGGACAAAGACUGACGCUCAGGUGCGAAAGCGUGGGGAGCAAACA
rnacentral:rRNA from 3 species